UACGAAGGGGGCUAGCGUUGUCCGGAAUCAUUGGGCGUAAAGAGCUCGUAGGCGGCUUAGUAAGUCGGGUGUGAAAACUCUAGGCUCAACCUAGAGACGCCACCCGAUACUGCUAUAGCUAGAAUCCAGUAGGGGAGUGUGGAAUUCCCAGUGUAGCGGUGAAAUGCGCAGAUAUUGGGAGGAACACCAGCGGCGAAAGCGGCACUCUGGGCUGGUAUUGACGCUGAGGAGCGAAAGCGUGGGUAGCGAACAGG
rnacentral:rRNA from 1 species